rnacentral:antisense_RNA from 1 species
GUUACCCGAGCCCAGCGCCGGGCCAAUGUCCUAUCUCAGGGUUUCCCACGUCGCUCGCUCCUUGACGGCUGACCGACACUGGGUCUGAUGUGUAAGCGCUUUCCAGGCCCUUCCCUGGGGCUUGGAGGGGAAUGGCGCAAAGGACUUUUCUUACAAGCAGAGCCACUGCAGUUACCAAAGAGUAUGUCGCUUAUUGUCUAAGAGGUUGGACUCCUGAAAGCCUGGACAGUGUCAUCAUCUUCACCUGAAGAGUGGAAAAAUUCAAGCAAAGAGUUUCUCAGGAAAUGACCAAGUAAAACAUCUGGAGUAAGUCAGCAGGAUUCAAAGUGACUCCCCCCAACCACCUGGUGGUGUUUCUCUCUGAAAGCAGCGCUUGGUACCAGUGUGAACUCUCUUCCUUCAGAAGUCUCAUCAGGUGGACGUAAUACGAGGGUCUGGUCCCCCAUACCUUGAGGACUCCGCUGCCCUCUGACAAUUACAGACAAUCCAAUUGUCCUCAUCCUUGAGGACUCUGCUGCCAUCUGACAAUUAGAGACAGUCCAAAACAUGCCACACUUUGAUCCUAAACACAUUCCUGGCUUUGGUCACUUUUGAAAAGUUCCUGAGUUAUGAGAAAUCAAUAAUAAGAGUGUUCAAAACCUGAACACUCUUUUUAGAAAUACCUGCUGGAACUACAUAUAUGAUUUAUGGGGUACUGUCUUGUAGUAUCUGGGAAAGUAGACCCAUCUAACCUGGAAUGAUCAUAGGCAACAAUGACCAAAAAUGGGGAUCUUUUGAUAUACCUAAAGUAAUUUAUUUGUGCACACCAUUGGAAAGAGCUGGUUUUAGAACCAGACAUGUAAAUAAGAGACUUACUUCCACUGGCACCUAAAAACUUCUAAAAGAAAUCCUGAAAGAAAAAGUCACCUUCAUUCAAGAGGAAAUUCAUAGAAUAGGAUCCUGACAAGUACUCUUGAAUACACGUUUCUGAUAACUUCGGAUAUCAUAUCAUUGGACUAAGUAACAACUUUCAGGAUAUAAUUGGAGACACUUGUUAUUUUACUAAGGAUUUGACUGGAAUGACAUAUUUUCAGAUAUGACCAGACUGCUUUGAAGAAUGAAGGUUGACUCUAUAGAGGCAAUUAGAAAGCCUCUUGGAAAGACUGGCCUGGUCCCUUGUCUACGUAGUUCCCUUUCAAGAUUUCUGUCCUGUGUUAAGUAAAGAAUGUCACUUUCUGACAGGCCUGGGAACCUCAAAAUAUUUCCGCUGUGUAUCUCUCAUUGGUUUAUUUCUUCGGAGAAAACUAAAUUCAUGGUACACUGAAGAGGUGAUUCCACAAGUGAUCGCAGCUAUAAAUCAAUGACUGGUAGGACUACCUGGGCAUGAGCCUUUCUGGCAAUGAGGGAUACCUUGACACUCAGAUUUUGAUCAUCAGUGCUUUCAAAAAGAAAGAUUUUUGAUCAAAAGGAAGAAAGGAGAAAAAGAACUUUUAUCUGAAGAAUGCAAGUCCUUUCCAAUUAUCAGAUCCAGAGAGGUAUUAAAAUGAGACGGCAAUCCUGUCCUACACACACCCCCUUUUGAGCCACGUACUCAUCUUUUUAUACUGCUUACUAUUGCCACAAGUAGCUGAAAAUUAGCCUACUGGUGCUGCACCAGACAUUAUAACCCAUAUCCUAUAGCUUAAUAAUGGAUAGCCAAUCAAUAGCUUAUGUUAUGUUAAUGUAAAUUAUUGGUAAAUAACUCAGGAACUGCCUCUUCUUUCCUUUUAAAAACCCACUUGUGGGCCGGGCGUGGCGGCUCACGCCUGUAAUCCCAGCAUUUUGGGAGGCCAAGGUGGGCGGAUCACAAGGUGAGGAGAUCAAGACCAUCCUGGAUAACACAGUGAAACCCUGUCUCUACUAAAAAUACAAAAAAUUAGCCGGGCGUGGUGGCAGGCACCUGUAGUCCCAGCUACUCAGGAGGCUGAGGCAGGAGAAAGGCGUGAACCCAGGAAGCAGAGCUUGCAGUGAGCUGACAUGGCACCACUGCACUCCAGCCCAGGCAACAGUGCGAGGCCCUGUCUC